rnacentral:rRNA from 1 species
GUCCGAAUGGGGAAACCCAGUGUGAUUCGUCACACUAUCAUUAACUGAAUCCAUAGGUUAAUGAGGCGAACCGGGGGAACUGAAACAUCUAAGUACCCCGAGGAAAAGAAAUCAACCGAGAUUCCCCCAGUAGCGGCGAGCGAACGGGGAGGAGCCCAGAGCCUGAAUCAGCAUGUGUGUUAGUGGAAGCGUCUGGAAAGGCGCGCGAUACAGGGUGAGAGCCCCGUACACAAAAGCGCACGUGCUGUGAGCUCGAUGAGUAGGGCGGGACACGUGGUAUCCUGUCUGAAUAUGGGGGGACCAUCCUCCAAGGCUAAAUACUCCUGACUGACCGAUAGUGAACCAGUACCGUGAGGGAAAGGCGAAAAGAACCCCGGCGAGGGGAGUGAAACAGAACCUGAAACCGUGUACGUACAAGCAGUGGGAGCCCCACCACCAAAGCGUUUCGCUUUGCGUGGUGCGCAAAAUGCGUAACGACAGCACGAUUGCGGUUAACGGAGCGUAAGCGACGUUCAACACAAAAAUCAGGCAGUGGAGCGUUUUGGGGUGGGGUGACUGCGUACCUUUUGUAUAAUGGGUCAGCGACUUAUAUUCUGUAGCAAGGUUAACCGCAUAGGGGAGCCGGAGGGAAACCGAGUCUUAAU